rnacentral:rRNA from 1 species
CCGUCACACCAUGGGAGUCGGAAAUGCCCGAAGUCAGCGGCCCAACCGGAAGGAGGGAGCUGCCGAAGGCAGGUCCGGUGACUGGGUGAAGUCGUAACAAGGUAAC